UGUUCUUAUGAGUCGUAAAACACAACCGCAAACAAGUUGAAGCUCUGUAGACUUCGUUUGAGAGCAAAGCUGAUUGAGUGCGGCCUGCUCUGAUAACUGAAGGUGUAGUGCAACAGAGCGAGCCAAGAACAUGGCAGCGGUAACCUCAGAUAACGUUGCAAUUCAUUUAUACAGAUCGAGACAAGGGAUCGUUACCUCUCUUGAUGUGCGCUCUUCUUAGAUAGCUUACUCUUAUGGUUUUUCUUCGGUCUUACGGACAGUUUAUGCUUUGCCGCCGACACGUCCAGGAGAUCGGCU